rnacentral:rRNA from 1 species
AGAGUUUGAUCAUGGCUCAGAACGAACGUUAGCGGCGCGCUUAACACAUGCAAGUCGAGCGAGAAAGGGCUUCGGCCCCGGUAAAGCGGCGCACGGGUGAGUAACACGUAGGUAAUCUGCCCUCGAGUGGUGGAUAACUCCCCGAAAGGGGAGCUAAUACAGCAUAAGACCACGACCCUCCGGGGUUGGGGACAAAGCGGGCCUCUCCAUGGAAGCUCGCGCUUGAGGAUGAGCCUGCGGCCCAUCAGCUAGUUGGCGGUGUAAUGGACCACCAAGGCUAAGACGGGUAGCUGGUCUGAGAGGAUGAACAGCCACACUGGAACUGAGACACGGUCCAGACUCCUACGGGAGGCAGCAGUGGGGAAUCUUGCGCAAUGGGCGAAAGCCUGACGCAGCGACGCCGCGUGAGCGAUGAAGGCCUUCGGGUUGUAAAGCUCUGUGGAGAGGGACGAAUAAGGGUUGGCUAAUACCCAGCCUGAUGACGGUACCUCUUUAGCAAGCACCGGCUAACUCUGUGCCAGCAGCCGCGGUAAGACAGAGGGUGCAAACGUUGUUCGGAAUUACUGGGCGUAAAGCGCGUGUAGGCGGCUUCGCAAGUCGGAUGUGAAAUCCCGCGGCUCAACCGUGGAAGUGCAUCCGAAACUGCGUGGCUAGAGUCCCGGAGAGGAAGGUGGAAUACUUGGUGUAGAGGUGAAAUUCGUAGAUAUCAAGUGGAACACCGGUGGCGAAGGCGGCCUUCUGGACGGUGACUGACGCUGAGACGCGAAAGCGUGGGUAGCAAACAGGAUUAGAUACCCUGGUAGUCCACGCCGUAAACGAUGAGUGCUAGGUGUCAGAGGCUUUGACCCUUCUGGUGCCGAAGCUAACGCGUUAAGCACUCCGCCUGGGGAGUACGGCCGCAAGGCUAAAACUCAAAGGAAUUGACGG